AUAUUAGUUUGUGUGUGCGCUAAGUAAUCGCCCAGUUAGGCGGUCAUCUCUGGUGCUUGUUGCGCGGCCUCUUCCGUCCACGCAAUAUCUGCGGUUGUUGCUGGAUCCGCCGGUGCUUGCAAAUAUUUUGCAAAUUUCUGCUGACCUGUAACAAAUCAAGCAAUUCUUGAGAGGGAAAAGGUGGAGCUGGAUAAUUCUUCCACCAGAGGUAGCUGGUCAUGAAGAUUGCUGCAACUGGACAGUUUCUCUUGGUCCUUAUGGCAUGCAGUGUAAUCCAAAUCGUGUGCCAAUCGUUACAUGGAAAUGAGACAGAUCGACUUUCGCUGCUUGAUUUCAAGAAUGCAAUCAUUUUGGAUCCACAGCAAGCAUUAGUGUCCUGGAAUGACAGCAAUCAAGUAUGCAGUUGGGAAGGUGUCUUUUGUAGGGUGAAGGCCCCAAACCAUGUUGUUGCACUUAACCUUACAAAUCGAGACCUAGUAGGGACAAUAUCCCCUUCACUUGGAAACCUAACAUUCCUCAAACAUCUAAACCUAACAGGAAAUGCUUUCACUGGACAGAUCCCUGCAUCCCUUGCCCACUUGCACCGUCUCCAAACCCUCUCCUUGGCCAGUAACACCUUACAGGGAAGGAUACCAAACCUUGCAAAUUAUUCUGAUCUCAUGGUGCUAGAUCUGUAUAGAAACAAUCUAGCUGGGAAAUUUCCUGCAGAUUUACCUCAUAGCCUAGAAAAGCUGAGACUUUCAUUUAAUAAUAUCAUGGGAACCAUACCUGCUUCUCUUGCCAACAUCACAAGGCUAAAAUACUUUGCUUGUGUUAACACUAGUAUUGAGGGCAACAUCCCAGAUGAGUUUUCAAAGUUGUCUGCGCUGAAGUUCUUGCAUUUGGGUAUCAAUAAGCUAACAGGUAGCUUUCCAGAAGCCGUCCUGAAUAUUUCUGCUCUAACUGAACUUAGCUUCGCUAUUAAUGAUCUUCAUGGAGAGGUGCCACCAGACCUGGGUAACUCCCUGCCCAAUCUCCAAGCAUUUGAAUUAGGCGGCAACCACUUUAAUGGGAAAAUCCCAUCAUCAAUAACAAAUGCUUCUAACCUAUACCUUAUCGAUGUAUCAAACAAUAAUUUCAGCGGGGGAUUGGCUAGCUCAAUCGGCAAACUUACUAAACUGUCUUGGUUAAAUCUUGAGGAAAAUAAACUCCAUGGACGUAACAAUGAAGACCAGGAGUUUCUCAGGAGGCAUUCCUACAUCGUUAGGCAAGUUACUCAGCCUGACUUUGCUUAAUCUGUCUUACAACAACUUAACAGGACCAAUACCAGAUUCUCUUAGCAAUUUGAAGUAUCUUGGGCAGCUUGAUUUUUCAUUCAACCAUCUUAAUGGUGAGGUCCCAACAAAAGGAAUAUUCAAGAAUGCAACUGCCAUUCAACUUGGUGGCAAUCAGGGGUUAUGUGGUGGGGUGCUAGAGUUACACCUACCUGCAUGCUCCAUUGCACCUUUAAGUUCAAGAAAGCAUGUCAAAUCAUUGACAAUCAAAAUAGUGAUACCAUUGGCCAUCUUGGUAUCACUCUUUUUGGUUGUAUUGGUCUUACUGCUCUUGAGGGGAAAACAAAAGGGACACUCUAUAUCUUUGCCACUGUCUGAUACAGAUUUUCCCAAAGUUUCUUACAAUGAUCUUGCAAGAGCAACUGAGAGGUUCUCCAUGUCCAAUUUGAUUGGCAAGGGGAGGUUCAGUUGUGUAUAUCAAGGAAAACUAUUUCAAUGCAAUGAUGUGGUUGCUGUGAAGGUAUUCAGCCUAGAGACAAGGGGCGCACAAAAAAGCUUUAUUGCAGAAUGUAAUGCUUUAAGAAAUGUGAGACACCGUAAUCUAGUUCCUAUCCUAACUGCAUGCUCCAGUAUUGAUUCUAAAGGCAAUGACUUCAAAGCUUUAGUGUAUAAGUUUAUGCCAGGUGGGGAUUUACAUAAAUUACUAUACUCAAACGGAGGUGAUGGAGAUGCUCCACAUCAAAACCACAUUACAUUGGCUCAGAGAAUAAACAUUAUGGUGGAUGUAUCAGAUGCACUGGAGUACCUGCACCAUAGCAACCAAGGAACAAUUGUUCACUGUGACCUGAAGCCUAGCAACAUCCUUCUAGAUGAUAACAUGGUUGCUCAUGUUGGAGACUUUGGCCUUGCAAGAUUCAAAUUUGAUUCGACAACAUCAUCUCUAAGUUAUUUGAACUCAACCUCCUCCCUUGUAAUAAAGGGAACCAUUGGUUAUAUUGCUCCAGAAUGCUCGGAUGGUGGUCAAGUUUCAACUGCCUCAGAUGUAUACAGCUUUGGAGUUGUUCUCUUGGAAAUAUUUAUUCGGAGAAGGCCAACAGACGAUAUGUUUAUGGAUGGAUUGAGCAUUGCAAAGUAUACAGCUAUCAACUUCCCUGACAGGAUACUUGAGAUUGUUGAUCCCAAGCUGCAACAAGAAUUGAUCCCCUGUUCUACAGAUAAGGAAGAUUUGGACCCCUGCCAGGAAAAUCCAAUAGCAGUUGAGGAGAAAGGCCUACAUUGUCUACGCUCUAUGCUAAACAUUGGACUCUGCUGCACCAAGCCAACACCGGGAGAACGCAUCAGCAUGCAAGAGGUGGCUGCCAAGUUGCACAGAAUCAAAGAUGCAUAUCUCAGGGAAUACUAGGGAUCUCUCGUAGCAUCGUGUGCAUCAUCUGUUUAAGUAGUUCGGUACAACAUUGGGUAAAGAAGUGGCCAUUGUCCUACUAGAAUGUGCUGUUCCUUGUUACAACGCGCGGCAAGAUGUUUCUGCUCUAAUAUACUGUUUGAUUUGUUUUUCCU